rnacentral:tRNA from 1 species
GGGGCUGUAACUCAACGGCUAGAGUGCCUCCCUGUCUAGGAGGAAGUUGGGAGUUCGAAUCUCCUCAGCCUCG